AUGCUGGGAAUACCAACUAACACUUGUUACAGAGUGUGCAUGGCGGCUGCUGACAGGCCUUCCCAGUGCCAGCAAGUGGAUACAGAAGCAAUCUCCCAAGCUUUCCAUGACAUUCAAGUGACCAGGCACUUGGACACCCAUCACUGGGGCUGUGUUCCUACCUUAGCCAGUGCCCACAAGCAGCAGCGGUUCCUCUGGCGUUUUGACCCUGAAACAAUGAGCAGAGAAGAGAUGCUGUUUCAAAAUGGGAAAAGCCAGUGGGUAUCUAGGGGAAUUCCGGGCAGAGAUAAAUUGGCCCACAUGACAUCUCAGCGAAAACUCAAGGUCAAAUGAGUCCUUUAAUUCAAGCAUCAGUGGGACUGCGAAGGCUAUGUACAUGUCUGCCAACUAAAGGAUGAACACUUAUAUGUUUAUCUGUGACUUCUAAGUAAAGAAUUCUACUUUGUCCAUUCAUCUAUGGAUGGACAAGUAGGUUGCUUCUAUAUCUUGUCUAUCGUAAAUAAUGCUGUCAUGAACAUAUAUCUUUUCUAAUUAGUAUUUUUGUUUCCUUUGGGUAGAUACCCAGAAGAAUUGCUGAGUUGUAUGGUGAUUCUAUUUUUAAUUUGUUGAGGAACCUCCAUACUGUUUUCCAUGACGAUCGUACCAAUUUACACCCCCACCGACAUUGCACAUGCUUCCCUCUCCUCCACAUCUUUGCCAACCCUGGUUAUUUGUUGUCUUUUUGAUGACAGUCAUCCUGACAGAUGUGAGGUAGCAUCUCAUUGUGGUUUUGAUUUGCAUGUCCCUGAGGAUGAGUAAUAUUGAGUGUCUUUUCAUAUGUCUGUUGGCCUCUGUAUGUCUUCUUUGGAAAAAUUUAUGUUUGGGCCCUCUGCCCAUUUUUUUUUUCCCUUUUUAUGGCCACACCCGAGGCACAUGGAAAUUCCUGAGCUAGGGUUGAAUUGGAGAUGCAGCUGUGAGCCUACUCCACAGCCACAUCAGCACUGAAUCUGAGCCGCAUCUGUGACCUACCCUGCAGCUUGUAGCAACACUGGAACCUUAACCCACUGAGUGAGGCCAGGGAUUGAACCCGCAUCCUUACAGAGACAGCAUUGAGUCCUUAAUCUGCUGAGCCACAACUGGAACUCUUUCUUAACCCAUUUUUUAAUAGGGUUUUUAUAUUGAGUUUUAUGACCUCUUUGUAUAUUCUGGAUAUUAACACAUUAUGGGAUAUAUCUUUUGCAAAUAUCUCCCUCCAUUUUGUUAAUAGUUCCCUUUGCCAUGUAAAAGCUUUGUGUAUACACACACAAACGCAUACACACAUACAUACACACACACACACACACACACACAUGCACAGUGGAAUAUUACUUAGCCAUAAAAAUUGAAAUCUUGCCAUUGGGGAAAACAUGGAUGGGUCCAGACGGUAUUAUGCUAAAUGAAAUAAGUCAGACCAAGAGAGACAAAUACCAUACAGUCUCACCUAUAUGAAGAAUCUAAAAAACACAACAGACAAAAUGAAAUAAAAAUGGAUUCAUACAGAUGAGAACA
rnacentral:lncRNA from 1 species